GCGGCGCCGCGUAUUCGGUCCAUUCUGUGCCUCCACUUGCCGCAGUAAGCACUUCGCUCCAAUUUUUCACCGGGGUUUCAACAUGAAGUCGAAAACUGUGUGCCACUCCAAAGGCAUCGUUUAUUCGCAGAGGAUAAUUUCGCUUCAACCGUACAAAAAUUAUUUGAAAAAUGAAUGAAAUAAUUUGGAAUUCCACGUGCGUUUUUAAGAUCGAUUUUGAGACUCAACUUAAUCAUGGCAAAAUGAAUAUACCAAAAAUGAUCCAAUUAAGUAUGUUAACUUGAUUGCAAUCAUUCUGACCAUGAUCGGUUUGAACGAGUUGUUCAUCAUCUCAAUUUAUGUAUCCAAAAGGUGGAGUUGGUGAAUAACUACUGAUAUUUGAAGCCAGUGAAUCAUGAUGAUAAUCAUGUUUAACAUGUAGUUCUUCACUUCAAGUAAUUUCAUCAUGACAUUUGGUAGAGAAAUCAUUGCUGAUACUUGAAGCCAUCUUAAGAAUCGCUGCUUUGUUCUGCUGAAUUAUUGGUAACUUGGAAGCAGAGUAUUUAGUUUAAUGUGGCUAUUGAUAUCAGCUUUCAAGAUUGAUAAUUCAUAAAAAUCAGUCUUUGAAUUUGACUUCUGGAAGCAUUCCAAUGUCCAUCAAAUGUUUGAACAGCACCUACAUUUUUAAAGUUUCAUCUUCUACCUCCAUUAAAAAUUUGUCUUACAAUUUGUAUGGGAUAUUUCCAACAGCCUUAAAAUUUAAAAGAUUUAUCAACUCUUGGAUUAUUUUUCUCUACAAUCGUUGAACUCAAAGAAAGAAAUGCAAGUUACGUUCAACUUCUCUAAAACAAAAAAUAGGAACACACUUCUCAUAUCUAACCAAUCUGCUUGAGUUAAAAGAGAUUGGGUUUCCAUGGUUUGGCUCAAUCAGCUUGCAGACUCGUUCGCUCAUUAAAUUGUGUAAAUUUAAUUAUUCUACA